rnacentral:rRNA from 1 species
AUUGAACGCUGGCGGCAGGCCUAACACAUGCAAGUCGCACGAGUGGCGGAAGGGUGAGUAAUGUCUGGGAAACUGCCCGAUGGAGGGGGAUAACUACUGGAAACGGUAGCUAAUACCGCAUACCAUCGGAUGUGCCCAGAUGGGAUUAGCUAGUAGUUGGGGUAACGGCUCACCUAGGCGACGAUCCCUAGCUGGUCUGAGGGGUUGACCCGCCACACUGAAACUGCGACACGGUCCAGACUCCUACGGGAGGCAGCAGUGGGGAAUAUUGCACAAUGGGCGCAAGCCUGAUGCAGCCAUGCCGCGUGUAUGAAGAAGGCCUUCGGGUUGUAAAGUACUUUCAGCGAGGAGGCGUUACUCGCAGAAGAAGCACCGGCUAACUCCGUGCCAGCAGCCGCGGUAAUAC